UACGUAGGUGGCGAGCGUUAUCCGGAAUGAUUGGGCGUAAAGGGUGCGUAGGCGGCCUGCUAAGUCUGGAGUGAAAGGUACCGGCUCAACCGGUAUAGGCUCUGGAAACUGCCAUGCUGGAGUGCCGGAGAGGUAAGCGGAAUUCCUAGUGUAGCGGUGAAAUGCGUAGAUAUUAGGAGGAACACCAGUGGCGGAGGCGGCUUACUGGACGGUAACUGACGCUGAGGCUCGAAAGCGUGGGGAGCAAACAGG
rnacentral:rRNA from 1 species